GUAUGGAAGCAGGGUAUGGAAGCAGUACUGUAGAAAAUAACAACAGUACUGCUCGAAAUCCUUUUAGUCCUUUUAGUGUCAUUCACAUAUCAUCAGAACAAUAAUCUAGUAUUUACAUUCAUUUAUAUUCUUUUUAGUUGACUUGUUUUGUUGUAUUUUUUUGAUAUUGCAAAUUAAUUUUUUAACUUCAGGCCAAGACUCAAGGUAAGGAUCCAACUCCGGCCGAUGUUUAUCUUGUUACACAUACAGUGAAACAUGAUAAAAAGACAUUUGUUACCAAGAAAGCGGAACAAGUAUAUAAAAGGGUUGAGAAACUACGUGAGGAGCGUUCGGCACCUAUUGAAGGUUCUGAUGAACCUCAAGUUGUUGAUGAAGACCAAUUAUUUCUAGAGGCUGCUAGCGGACUAGACAAAAAGAACAGAGUUUAUGGCCUUGGCUCCUUGCAGAGUGUUAUUUAUGGAUCAGACUCUGGGAGCAGUCAGUACAGGCACUCCAACUUCAACAAUGAAGAAUACAAGCAAAUGCAGGUGGAGCUACAGGACAUGAAGAACCAAGUGAAGGAAUUGCAGGAGCUUAGAAAUCAAGAAUUAGAAGAGAUGAAGAAGCAGAUGGAAGAGAUGAAGAGCCAACUUGCUAUGGUGUUUAGUAUUCGGAAUGGAAAUUGAACACUAGUUUAAAACACUGUCUGCCUUAUAUUAUGUAUUUUGUAUGACUUGUGACUUAUGAAUUAAAUUUGGAUGCUUGGAUAUUGCCUUUUCUUGUUAAUUUAUGUAAUUUUUCUUUA